AGAUUGAACGCUGGCGGCAGGCCUAACACAUGCAAGUCGAGCGGCAGCACGGGUACUUGUACCUGGUGGCGAGCGGCGGACGGGUGAGUAAUGCCUAGGAAUCUGCCUGAUAGUGGGGGAUAACGUUCGGAAACGGACGCUAAUACCGCAUACGUCCUACGGGAGAAAGUGGGGGAUCUUCGGACCUCACGCUAUCAGAUGAGCCUAGGUCGGAUUAGCUAGUUGGUAGGGUAAAGGCUCACGAGCGACGAUCUGUAGUCUGGUUGAGUAGGACGACCAGCCACACUGGGACUGAGACACGGCCAGACUCCGUACGGGAGCAGCAGGUGGGAAUUUUGGACAAGUAGGGGAACCUGAUCCAGCCAUCCCGGUCGUGU
rnacentral:rRNA from 1 species